UAGAAAAGGAGCGUUGCAGAGGAUGGCAGGACCAUAGGCAGUUCUGGCACUAUGGGACAAAAUCACGUCACCUCCAAGGUCAUUAGCAAUCAUUAAUUUUUAAAGCUACGGAUGAUGUCCUCCGAAGCAGAGACCACAUGAAAUAAACAGAUUAUUCCUAUGGUGCUGGGAU